GACGAACGCUGGCGGCGUGCCUAAUACAUGCAAGUCGAACGCAGUGGGGACGGGUGAGUAACACGUGGGUAACCUCCCAUCUGAGGGGAUAACACGUGGAAACAGGUGCUAAACCGCAACUGAUGGAUGGACCCGCGGGGCAUUCGCUAGGUGGUGAGGGAACGGCCCACCAAGGCCACGAUGCAUAGCCGACCGGAGAGGGUGAUCAGGCAAAUUGGAACUGAGACACGGUCCAGACUCCGACGGGAGGCAGCAGGGGGGAAUAUUGGACAAUGGGCGAAAGCCUGAUCCAGCCAUGCCGCGUGUGUGAAGAAGGUCUUCGGAUUGUAAAGGACUUUAAGUUGGGAGGCGGUACCAACAGAAUAAGCACCGGCUAACUUCGUGCCAGCAGCCGCGGUAAUAC
rnacentral:rRNA from 1 species